rnacentral:rRNA from 1 species
UACAGAGGGGGCAAGCGUUGUUCGGAAUUACUGGGCGUAAAGGGCGCGUAGGCGGCCUGUUAAGUCAGACGUGAAAUCCCCGGGCUCAACCCGGGAACUGCGUCCGAUACUGGAAGGCUUGAAUCCGGGAGAGGGAUGCGGAAUUCCAGGUGUAGCGGUGAAAUGCGUAGAUAUCUGGAGGAACACCGGUGGCGAAGGCGGCAUCCUGGACCGGCAUUGACGCUGAGGCGCGAAAGCCAGGGGAGCAAACGGG